GUAACAGCCCGGUAGUUGAAAUGGCUUUCCCUCCAGAGUGGAUCCUGAGUACGGCGGAACACGUGAAAUUCCGUCGGAAUCCGGGAGGACCAUCUCCCAAGGCUAAAUACUCCCUAGUGACCGAUAGUGAACCAGUACCGUGAGGGAAAGGUGAAAAGCACCCCGGAAGGGGAGUGAAACAGUUCCUGAAACCGUGUGCCUACAAGUAGUUAGAGCCCGUUAAUGGGUGAUAGCGUGCCUUUUGUAGAAUGAACCGGCGAGUUACGAUUUGUUGCAAGGUUAAGCGGAAAAAGCGGAGCCGUAGCGAAAGCGAGUCUGAAUAGGGCGCAUAAGUAACAGGUCGUAGACCCGAAACCAGGUGAUCUACCCAUGUCCAGGAUGAAGGUAAGGUAAUACUUACUGGAGGUCCGAACCCACGCACGUUGAAAAGUGCGGGGAUGAGGUGUGGGUAGCGGAGAAAUUCCAAUCGAACUUGGAGAUAGCUGGUUCUCUCCGAAAUAGCUUUAGGGCUAGCCUCGAGGUAAAGAGUCAUGGAGGUAGAGCACUGUUUGGACUAGGGGCCCUUCUCGGGUUACCGAAUUCAGAUAAACUCCGAAUGCCAUGUACUUAUACUCGGGAGUCAGACUGCGAGUGAUAAGAUCCGUAGUCGAAAGGGAAACAGCC
rnacentral:rRNA from 1 species